GCACUGGUGGUUCAGUGGCAGAAUUCUCCCCUUCCAUGCGGGAGACCCAGGUUCAAUUCCCGGCCAAGGUA
rnacentral:tRNA from 1 species